rnacentral:rRNA from 1 species
UACGGAGGGGGCAAGCGUUGUUCGGAAUUACUGGGCGUAAGGGCGCGCAGGCGGCUGCUCAAGUCAGGCGUGAAAGGCCUGGGCUCAACCCGGGAAUUGCGCUUGAGACUGGGUUGGCUUGAGUGCGGGAGAGGAUGGUGGAAUUCCCAGUGUAGAGGUGAAAUUCGUAGAUAUUGGGAAGAACACCGGUGGCGAAGGCGGCCAUCUGAACCGCAACUGACGCUGAGGCGCGAAAGCGUGGGGAGCAAACAGG